rnacentral:tRNA from 1 species
GUGGGUACAGCUCAGUGGUAGAGCACAUGCUUAGCAUGCAUGAGUCCUGGUUCUAUUCCCAGUACCUCUA